CGGGCUUGAAUUGCAGAGGACCGGCAGAGAGAUCUGUUUUCCCUUCGGGGCUUCUGUGAAGGUGCUGCAUGGUUGUCGUCAGCUCGUGCCGUGAGGUGUCGGCUUAAGUGCCAUAACGAGCGCAACCCUUGUCCAUAGUUGCCAUCAGGUAGUGCUGGGCACUCUAUGGAGACUGCCAUCGCAAGAUGUGAGGAAGGUGGGGAUGACGUCAAAUCAGCACGGCCCUUACGUCCGGGGCUACACACGUGUUACAAUGGGGGGUACAGAAGGCAGCUUACGGGCGACCGUUGGCGAAUCCCUAAAUCCCCUCUCAGUUCGGACUGGAGUCUGCAACCCGACUCCACGAAGCUGGAUUCGCUAGUAAUCGCGCAUCAGCCAUGGCGCGGUGAAUACGUUCCCGGGCC
rnacentral:rRNA from 1 species